AGAACAAUUUUCAUAUAAUCUAUUGACUUGCCUGCCCUAAGACAAAGGCCGUUGUUUUGAGGUAGCCUUAGUUUACUUUCCAAGUUCCAUCUGCUUUUCCACUGGAGUUCAGAGGUCUUUCAUGGCCAGCCCAUUCUGCCAUCCAUGACCUUUGAUGGAGCCUGUUCUCAGCUCAAGGCAAUCUCCAGAAACUGAAGAACAUGACCUUUCUAAAUGCAAG
rnacentral:lncRNA from 1 species